GACGAACGCUGGCGGCGUGCUUAACACAUGCAAGUCGUACGGUAAGGCCCUUUCGGGGGUACACGAGUGGCGAACGGGUGAGUAACACGUGAGUAACCUGCCCACAACUUUGGGAUAACGCUAGGAGACUGGUGCUAAUACUGGAUAUGUUCUCCUGCUGCAUGGUGGGGGUUGGAAAGCUCCGGCGGUUGUGGAUGGACUCGCGGCCUAUCAGCUUGUUGGUGGGGUAGUGGCCUACCAAGGCGGCGACGGGUAGCCGGCCUGAGAGGGUGACCGGCCACAUUGGGACUGAGAGACGGCCCAGACUCCGACGGGAGGCAGCAGUGGGGAAUAUUGCACAAGGGGCGCAAGCCUGAUGCAGCAACGCCGCGUGCGGGAUGACGGCCUUCGGGUUGUAAACCGCUUUCAGCAGGGACGAAGCUUUUUGUGACGGUACCUGCAGAAGAAGCACCGGCUAACUACGUG
rnacentral:rRNA from 1 species